rnacentral:rRNA from 1 species
UACGAAGGGUGCAAGCGUUAAUCGGAAUUACUGGGCGUAAAGCGCGCGUAGGUGGUUCAGUAAGUUGGAAGUGAAAUCCCCGGGCUCAACCUGGGAACUGCUUUCAAAACUGCUGAGCUAGAGUACGGUAGAGGGUAGUGGAAUUUCCUGUGUAGCGGUGAAAUGCGUAGAUAUAGGAAGGAACACCAGUGGCGAAGGCGACUACCUGGACUGGUACUGACACUGAGGUGCGAAAGCGUGGGGAGCAAACAGG